UUCUCUUUCUCUUUCUCUCCCUCACCCCUCUCCUUCCCCCUCACGCCAACACUCCGCCCCCCCUUCCAUCUCUAUCUCGUAGUUGAACCCUCGCCAGCAAGUCAUGUUCGCCCAUGACCCAGUUAAACUACGUUCGCUCGUGACCCAGCACUGCCGUCCCUCCUGCGUCUCAGUCGUGCCACCCAACAUUCCACUCAUCGAACAACCCAACUGCGUGACCCGCUGUUCCGCCCGAUUCAGUGACGUCCGAAGUCACCGCCCCAGCCCAGGCAGCUGUUCGCUCGCCCAGCUAACCUCUCAGAUGCAAAGUCGCACCACGCCGCCGCUCAUCCAGAUCCACCAUCACAUAUCUCCUCCGCCACCGCGCCCUUCUUCACACCAACCUUGCCAGAUUCGUCACUGCCGUCUGCAUUUAUCUGAUGCUGCCUCUCCCUUGUCGUCGUCUUGGGUGCCGUCAUAUCUAUUUGGGUAAAGGUAGAGAUGCACCGGCGAUCGACAAGCAAAAUCCAUGAUCAAGCCACUG